CGGGGUGUGGCUCAGUUGGUAGAGCACCGCGUUCGGGACGCGGGGGCCGUGGGUUCGAAUCCCGUCACUCCGA
rnacentral:tRNA from 1 species